UCAAAUUCCAAUUUCUUGUUAAAUGUGAAUAUUUUCUAGUUUAUUCACCCCUCUGUGACAGUUAACGCAAUAUCUUUGAGUUGUGGACAAAAAAAGACAUUUGCGGACAUCAUCUUGGGCUUUGGGCAACACUGAUCGACAUUGUUCACCAUUUUGUAACAUUUUAUGGACCAAACAACUAAUGGAUGAACCGAGAAAAUAAUCA